UACGAAGGGUGCAAGCGUUAAUCGGAAUUACUGGGCGUAAAGGGCAUGUAGGCAGUUUAAUUAGUUAGGGGUGAAAUCCCGGGGCUCAACCUCGGAAUUGCCUUUGAUACGGUUAGACUAGAGAGCUUGAGGGGAUAAUGGAAUACCCAGUGUAGAGGUGGAAUUCGUAGAUAUUGGGUAGAACACCAGUGGCGAAAGCGGUUAUCUGGCAAGCAACUGACGCUGAGAUGCGAAAGCGUGGGGAUCAAACAGG
rnacentral:rRNA from 1 species